rnacentral:lncRNA from 1 species
GGUGUCCACUGGUCUCCAUUAGGUUUUGUGUCUUCUUUGAUGUUGAUGAAUAAGAUGAACAAUGAUGUAUUUUGUGGUUGUAUGUGUGAUUCAAUUAUUGUGAUGUGUUGUUGAAUCUGCCAUUAAAAUCAUGUUGAUAUGUGAUUGUUGUUGUGUUGAAUUCUUGAGUUUUGAGGUGAAUUGAGUGAUAUCUGUUUUGGUGAAUCUAAA